rnacentral:ribozyme from 1 species
AACCGGGACGGAUGGCGACCACAUCGGUAAGUGAGUGAGAUGAGCGGAUGUGUAUACACACGGUGCGUGCGUGUGUACUGUUGUAACGAAAGACUAUCCUUCUUGAUGCCUAUAAAACGUGACGCGUCGUCGCGUCGUUGUUUUCUCGCUCACCCCACGUAGUACUUCAGGAAAAAUAAAACUUCUGU